GGAUGUGAGGGCGAUCUGGCAGCGACAUCUGUCACCCCAUUGAUCGCCAGGAUUGAUCGCCAGGGUUGAUUCGGUUGAUAUGGCUAGGCGGGUGUCCCCUUCUUCCCUCACUGUGCAUCCCUCCCAAAGCUGCGAGCUCCGUCGAAGAGGAUGGUCUUCCCCGAAUAGAGACGGACCGAUCUUUAGUCGAGGAUAAAUGAACGAGUAACUGCGCUCCCCUGCUAGAACCUCCAAACAAGCUCUCAAUAACUACAACAAUAAAACAACAAGGGCAACAAAAAGGAAUAAAUAAAUAUUUUUUAAAAAAUACAAUGAGUAUUAAAAA
ensembl:misc_RNA 7SK 7SK RNA